rnacentral:rRNA from 1 species
UACGUAGGGUGCAAGCGUUACUCGGAUUUAUUGGGCGUAAAGCGCAUGUAGGUUGUUUCGUAAGUCUGAUGUGAAAGCCCUGGACUCAAUUCAGGAACUGCAUUGGAUACUGCGAGACUAGAGUAUGGGAGAGGUAGGCGGAAUUCCUGGUGUAGAGGUGAAAUUCGUAGAUAUCAGGAGGAACAACAGAGGCGAAGGCGGCUUACUGGACCAUAACUGACACUGAGAUGCGACAGUGUGGGGAGCAAACAGG